GCGAGUCGUUGUAGCAAUACAGGCGGACGGCUCAGUAACACGUAGUCAACCUCACUUAUGGACGUGGAUAACCUCGGGAAACUGAGAAUAAACCGCGCUAGAUCAUAAUGCCUGGAAUGGCUUAUGGUCCAAACAAUUUAUUGCCGUAGGAUGGGACUGCGGCCUAUCAGCUUGUUGGUGAGGUAAUGGCCCACCAAGGCUAUAACAGGUACGGGCUCUGAGAGGAGAAGCCCGGAGAUGGGUACUGAGACACGGACCCAGGCCCUAUGGGGCGCAGCAGGCGAGAAACCUUAGCAAUGUGCGAAAGCACGACUAGGUUAAUCCGAGUGGUUCCUGCUAAAGGAACCUUUUGUCAGUCGUAAAACCACAGAUGAAUAAGGGGUGGGCAAGUCUGGUGUCAGCCGCCGCGGUAAUACCAGCACCUCGAGUGGUCAGGAGGUUUAUUGGGCCUAAAGCAUCCGUAGCCGGCUAUGCAAGUCUCCGGUUAAAUCCAACUGCUCAACAGAUGGGCUGCCGGAGAUACUACAUAGCUAGGGAGCGGGAGAGGAAGACGGUAUUCGGUGGGUAGG
rnacentral:rRNA from 1 species